UUCUUGAUUCGUUUAGGAGUUCAUUAACUCCUAAAUUGGUACAAGCUCUAGUGUGCCUUCAAGAUUGAUUCGUGAGUGAACCAACGCCAAUAAGUAUUGAGGAAGAUUUAGAUUCCCUCGAGCAACUUGAAAAAGAUAUGGCCAAUCUUGGAAAAGAACCUUCUAUUGAUGACAUGUAGAAGUGUAGAUUGUUAAGACAUGAAACUUUGGUUUAACCAUGCCUCGACUUUGUGGUCCUAAAGCUCGAUCACCUGUUUGGGAUCACUAUGAAAAGCUUGAAGAAAAUGAUGAUGGAUGGUGCACCAUACAGUGCAUUAAUUGUGGCUGUGUUAUUCGUUACCAUUCAAAGCGUACUGGAACCUCCUUCUUAAGGUCUCAUGUUAAGCGUUGUUUGGAUCGCUUGGAGCAAGAGCAUAACACUAUAAGGAUUGAGUAGUUUUUGUUUUGUUGACUUGACUAGAACUAUUAGGACUAUGUUUGGAUUUAAUUUUCAGGUUCUUUGACAGUUUGACUGUUGUUUUUGGUUUUCUGAAAUUCUGAUGGUGCUAGACAAAUUAUUGCUAACAACAACACCACUUGUAUUAGCUACUUUCAGUUUUGAAGUUAUUAAUAUGGAAUGGUAACUUAUC